GAGGUGAACUAGCUAUCCUGAAGGUAGAUGGGUAGCUAGCACUGCUGGGCAGGCUCAGGGGAGUGAGAGUGAGCUCCCAGCUGAUGAUUGGCAUGCUGAGGCCCUGAGACAAGGGCAGAAAAGGUUCUGGGGCUGCAGGGAAGUGGCCCAGGAAGUAGACUGAGGGGUUGGAGGGGCUGCAGUACAUGGCUGCCAUCUACAGGGUCCAUGGGCUGGGACCCCCUGUCAAUCACCACUGAGGAAGUGGCUAGAUAGUGGACUGCUGUUCUUCUCCCACAAAAGGGGGGAGAACUGAGUGUGACACAGCUGGAGGGUUGUGUCCUGAAGAGGAUGCUGUUUUCUUUGGGACAACACACUUCCUGGAGUAGAUGUGAUGGUGGUGAGAUGUCACCAGAGGGUGCACUGGUGAACUAAGCUAAUUCCCAGGACUGCCAGCAGGAGGUGCCACAGCGGAGUUGGACUGAGCCCCAAGAGAAAACUGACUCCAACCCUUCAUAUGUGAAAAGGAUAUUUGAAGAGCGAUAGCUAUAACAAGGAAACUUCAACCAACUGAAACAAGAAGUGUUUUAUUUGUUAAGAAAGAUCUUCAUCACUAAAAUACUAAGGGACUAAUGUAUAUCUCCUUGAGAGAACUCUGUGCUCUUCCUUUUUCUUUAACAAUGUUAUAGAAAAAUUACCAGCUACAGACAUUUGUUUUUGUGCUACUUGAAACAGCCAGAUUAGCAGUGGAAACUUUGUAAAUUGAGGUGCACUCAGUUACACAACAUCAAGACAUGGCAGUGGAUCCACAGCCUAGGAAAUUAACUACAUUUUGUGAAAUUGUACUUAAUUUAAAUGGGAUUAUACUAGAAAUUGAAUCUGAUAACCAUCAAGGACCAUUUAAACAAAAAUCUUUCUGCUUUGGCAACACAAGCUAGUAUUUGGGAGCUUUGGCUGCUUUGUAUAGGUUUCCUUGCUAUUACAGCUGUUGAAUUAGGUCCCAAGGGAUCAUUUUAUCCCUAGUUUUCCAGCUGCUAGCAAGUGUACUGUUUGUAUGGUCUGGUGUUAAGCCAUCAGUCCUGUAUUCAUAUGUAUUUUCUCUUACCAUGAGUCAUAAGAGACUUUCAUGCUUUCUUGUAACAAGAAUUUAUUAGUUUCUUCAGAGAGUUUGUACUGUUACAAUUAAUACAGGUUUCCUCUAAUAGAAUGACCUCCCACUCCCACCUUUUCAUUCAAAUUCUUUACUGCGAUGUUUCUCAGGUGGUAGACCAUGACCUCUAGGGAGGUCAUAAAAGCCUAUUGAAGGUAAGGAUGCUUCAAGCAGGGAUUAAUUUGUACUGAAAGAAGAACUGGGUAUCAAGCAAUUUUUUUACUUUCAUAACAGGGGGAAAGUCCAGAGGUGCUGGGUUUAUCAACUGCCAAGUCUAGAGGUGCCAGAGCUCAGCCCUGGCAAGCCCUGGCACAAAUUAAGCACCAGCUGCACGACGUUUAAUGUUGUUACAAUUCUAAAUUGAAGAAAAUAAAAUUACCAGCAUAACUUCAGGGUAGCUAAAACCUUCAACAUUUGUGAGGUCAAAGGUAGUGGUAGUUUUAUAUAGGCUUAUCAUUGAUAUGUUUUUACUCUUACUUUUAUAGUAAAUAGAAGAGGAGCACUAAAAUUUUGGAGUUCAAAUGCGGGAUUGCCAACUUGGCAAGGUUCAGAAACACUGGCUCAUUUAUUCCAUUAGGUGGUUGGCCCUAGCCAGUCAAGAAAGAAAUAAAAAUAGCAGUGUUCUAAAUUAACACCUUUUCUGGAUCUCCUAGUGUGUGCCAACUUACUGUGUCUGUCAAGUAGUUCAUCAUAAGCUCCUCUGGGCAGUGACUGUUUUUACCUGUGUGACAUGGUGCUGAGUAGAAUCAUCUCUUAAAUAAUGACAAUAAUUCCUAACCACACAGCCAAAAGGGGGAGUUGCCACAUGCUUGAGUUUGCGGGACACAUGGGAUACAAUUAUUUUUUGCUCAACUAAAGAGGGGGAAUGGAAAAGGAAAAAAUGUUGUUUGAAUAAAAAAUAUAUUCAUUUAGGUCAGAAAAUAUUGUAACCUGAAUGAAUAUAGUAUGUUACGAUAGACAAGCAUGCUAUUCACUGCAAGGGUCUAUUGCAAACAAGCUGAAUAAUUCACUCCUUGUGAUUCUCAGAGUAGUGGAAUUAAAAUCAC